CGCUACCUCGUCGUCGACAUUAUAUCAUGCUAGCGCAUCAUCAUAGAGUUCAGUACUGUUUAAUCUGUUGAGAUAAAUGUCAUGUUGGUAUGAUCACUAGUUCCUACAUGCGAAGUUGGUACGACUUCUAACGACGCCCUUUUGUUUUGGCUUCUGCCACGUGUUAAUUAUCUGAGAGUAUCCGGUGUGUUCAUAUGGCUGUACAUGGUGGUGAAAUACAGAAUAUAAAAACUGAAUCUGUGUGAAUCAAUUAAAUAUCGAACUCCAAAACCUAUUUAAUAACAGGGGUAGUGCAGUAACCGAAAUGGAAAUUAUUCUACAUGCAAAAGCUGUACUAAUUUUGUGUAAGUAAUUUAGAAAUAUAUGAGGUCUUGCAAAUCAAAUAAUUUGAUGUAGGAAAUUCUUGAUUUUCAUAAAAUAGUUCUGAACUGCUAUGACUGCGUGGAAACGAAGAAGUUCGGAAAUGAAAUAUAGAGAAAUUUGAAGAGUUCUCGUUGCCAGAAAUUUAAGGUGAAUGGAUUUUGUGAUAUUCAGGCAAACUGACUCCCGAGUAAGAUAAAACUUCAUAAAUUCUUUCCUAUGGUGCUUUGAUGAACUUUGUGUAAAGUGACUUGGAAUCCAGCUUUAACUGGUUUAAAACAUGCAUGGAUUAUACUCUUCGCUAUUCCUAGGACAUUUACAAAUUAUUGUGUUUGUCCUUCUCAAGUUAGAAAUUCCACUUUUUGUGAAAACGCUAUUGUAAUUAUCCGAAAACAGUUUAUUUAACAUUAUUUGGCGUCCUUUAGCCUUGUGCCUAUUCGUUUCUAUACAUGACCAACAUAUUCUUUCUUUUAAACAACAAUGUCUUCGUAUGGAUUAAUGUCUUUAUGUGUUUCGCUAUCUCCAUCUCCAAUACAUGUACUAUACUUGGCAUGAUGUUUCUUUCCUGAUCUCAUAAACAUUUCUGUGAUGACAUAAGUUUCCACUUUAUCAGCACUGAUAUGGUUUAUAGUGCAAUUAUCUUUGUCACCUUCAUACUAAUCAUUGUACUGUUCUGUGCCCGUUUUAUUCUCCCAUGCAACGCUGCAAGAUUGGGAAACCUAGAUUUUACAAUUAUAUCAAGCACAUUCUUACUGUGUUUCCCGAGGAGUGUAGCAAACCCGAACGAAAAAUUCAAUUCUCUCAUUUUCCUGGCGUUCUCUCUUCCGAAACGCUAACUUUUAUUCUGUCUUUUUCGGUAGCUCUCGAAAUUGGACGAUUAGAUACCCGUAAGACAACAGAAUGUAAAUUUUCCGGACAGCCAUAGUAUCUAUUGAUAGCCGAUCCCUGAAAAAUAUCCAUUAGCCCACAAAAUAAAUUUAUCUUUUCCAUUCCGUUCUCUAAAAGUCGCCAACACAAUCCUGCGAUUUAUUUCAGAUGACUUUUGGUAUGGAUUGGCAUUGCCAAUUAGUGGAGAUGAGUUGAAAAAUUUCAUCCAGUACUCACACUUACUUGCAAUUUUGGAACCUAAGCCGCGGUUUCUGGUUCUAGAAGAUUGAAUUUUCUUUUGCAAUUCUUGCAAAUAACACUAGUCGCUAUCAUCGAAAAUACAGCAACAAAGUUCAAGAUAUAUUAACUAAGAUCACUUGCAAACACUUCAUUGUUAUCUCUAUUUUACAAUUUUUUAGUUGAUACGCUUGUUAUUCGGUUCAGCAACGUGUAUCAUUCGAGUUACAGUUGAUGUACACGCAGAACGCCAUAUUAGACCUGAUGCAAUUUUCGUGAACCCAUCUGCUGCUAUAUACGUACUGCAGCUAGUUCUCAUUACGAACGCUAUCGCUAUAAGGUUCAUUUCAUAUCAAGCAUUCUGUGCAAAGCAACAGUAAUGUGUAAUGUUGCCAAUAUUGAAUCGCUUCUUUAAGAGGAAGGCAUUCGAGAUAGAUUGCUUUCAUCUUUGAUUCUGUUUGGUUUCAGUUUUCUUGAGAAGUACGCAACCGGGUGCAACAUACCGUUAUCUUGGGGUUGUUUUAAAACGGCUCCUAAACCAUCACCAUUUGCAUCUGUAUAAAUGAAUAUUUCUUUGUUUUGCUCAUAUGUUGCUAGGGCCGGACUUGAACAGACAUAUUCCUUGAUCCUCUGAAAUGAUUUCUCACAUUCUUCAUUGCAGAUGAAUUUGACAUUUUUCCUUAAUAAGUUAUGAAGUGGUUCCAGGAGUUUGCAGGCAUCUUCCAUAAAUUUAUAAUAAAAAUUAAUUUUCCCCAUUAAUUGUCUUACAUUCUUUUUUGUUCUUUGGGCGUUCCAGUUCGCCCAAGUCAAGAAAUGUUUUUUCGGCUUUCAGCCCUUUUUUUCUCUUUUCCAAAUCGCUUUCUUCCUUCCUUUAAAUUUUUUAAUCCUUUUUUCUCUUUUUCUCUUUUUCUAGCUAUCUGCACGAUAGGCUAAUCAUGUCCACACAUAGUUUGUUUCUACAAUGUUUAAUAUAAAGAGAAUGUCCCGCGAAUGUGUACGAGAACAUAUGCCCAGCGAAGUGCACUGG